rnacentral:rRNA from 1 species
UACGGGGGGAGCAAGCGUUGUUCGGAUUUACUGGGCGUAAAGGGCGCGUAGGCGGUCAGCACAAGUCAGUUGUGAAAUCUCCGGGCUUAACUCGGAAAGGUCAACUGAUACUGUGCGACUAGAGUGCAGAAGGGGCAACUGGAAUUCUCGGUGUAGCGGUGAAAUGCGCAGAUAUCAGGAGGAACACCGGUGGCGAAGGCGGCUUGCUGGGCCUUACCUGACGCUGAGGAGCGAAAGCGUGGGGAGCGAACAGG